UACGUAGGGGGCAAGCGUUGUCCGGAAUUAUUGGGCGUAAAGCGCGUGUAGGCGGUCCGGUAAGUCGGCUGUGAAAGUCGGGGGCUCAACCCUCGAAUGCCGGUGGAUACUGUCGGGCUAGAGUACGGAAGAGGCGAGUGGAAUUCCUGGUGUAGCGGUGAAAUGCGCAGAUAUCAGGAGGAACACCUAUUGCGAAGGCAGCUCGCUGGGACGUAACUGACGCUGAGACGCGAAAGCGUGGGGAGCAAACAGG
rnacentral:rRNA from 1 species